rnacentral:rRNA from 1 species
AUUGAACGCUGGCGGCAUGCCUUACACAUGCAAGUCGAACGGCAGCGGGGGAGAAGCUUGCUUUUCCUGCCGGCGAGUGGCGAACGGGUGAGUAAUACAUCGGAACGUGCCCUGUAGUGGGGGAUAACUAGUCGAAAGAUUAGCUAAUACCGCAUACGACCUGAGGGUGAAAGUGGGGGACCGUAAGGCCCCAUGCUAUAGGAGCGGCCGAUGUCUGAUUAGCUAGUUGGUGGGGUAAAGGCCUACCAAGGCGACGAUCAGUAGCUGGCCUGAGAGGACGAUCAGCCACACUGGGACUGAGACACGGCCCAGACUCCUACGGGAGGCAGCAGUGGGGAAUUUUGGACAAUGGGCGAAAGCCUGAUCCAGCAAUGCCGCGUGUGUGAAGAAGGCCUUCGGGUUGUAAAGCACUUUUGUCCGGAAAGAAAUGGCUCUGGUUAAUACCUGGGGUCGAUGACGGUACCAGAAGAAUAAGGACCGGCUAACUACGUGCCAGCCGCCGCCGUAAUAC